GUGAAUCAUCGAAUUUUUGAACGCAAAUUGCACUCUCCUCUGAGAGUAUGCCUUUGUUAGUGUCAGCAUAUAUAAAAUCGACAACGUUGCUGUUCCGCGGUGGUGUUCGUCGGAAAUUGGGUUAUCUUAAAUCCUUUCGGGUUUUAAGCGUCUUAUAAUAUUCAUUUUGUUUCCAUGAACGUUUCUAAGUUUUAUUUCUUUACACGUUUAAGGUAUCGAUUUUUAUUAGACGUUACCAUCAUAUCAGA
rnacentral:misc_RNA from 1 species